UUGACAGUUUGGCUUCCCUGUUCUGGGUGGCAAAGCCUGUGGAGUACUCACCUACCUGCUGCAUGAAGGCAGCAUGGAGGGACUGUGGUGGAUUAUCUGCAAAGAUGGCCAAAAUUCUCUCAUCCCUGCAGGCACAUACAAGACUAGGCAUUGCUCUCUGAUCAGAAGAGUCAAUCCUGGUGAGUUUAACUUGAGCCUCAGAAUCCUACUCAACACAAAGUUCCAGAGAGAAGCGAUUAUCAAUGCCAAUACCUUAGAGAUGGUACUGGCUGUGGAAUCUGUCAUCCCUUGACUAGAAUGAGGAAGAAAGAUGAAGAAUGAGGAGGAAGAAGGAAGGAACGAGAGAGAGGUAAAGCCAACAAGCAGAACAGACCUACAUUUGCAGCAUCUCCAAGUUUCUGCAACAGCAUUAUGUUGUUGUUAUGUUUUGUUUUAAUAAAAGCACAUACCAUUUUU
rnacentral:lncRNA from 10 species